rnacentral:tRNA from 1 species
AAGGGAGACCUAAUUCCGGUAGGAGACGAAAAAAAAGUAGUCCCAACCAAGAAUCAAUCCCAAAAGGUCGGAACGGGGUAUGAGGCUUUCAAACUAGGUUCUGGGUUCAUAAAAGACCUGAAUCAGGAACAAGGGCUAUUAGCUCAGGUGGUUAGAGCGCACCCCUGAUAAGGGUGAGGUCCCUGGUUCGAGUCCAGGAUGGCCCACCUGCACAGGUGGCAAAAACAAGAGAAGCUCCGAAUCAGCACCUUAUCUUAUAUACAUAUAUAAGAGAGAAUGCUGGCUCUGAGUACAGAGGAACCUUGAAAACUGCAUAGAGCUAGGUGAAAAAGCCAAAAAAGAAGACCGCAA